rnacentral:tRNA from 1 species
GAAUUCGAUUUUCUCCCCAGG